GACGAACGCUGGCGGCGUGCUUAACACAUGCAAGUCGAACGGAAAGGCCCUGCUUGCAGGGUACUCGAGUGGCGAACGGGUGAGUAACACGUGGGUGAUCUGCCCUGCACUUCGGGAUAAGCCUGGGAAACUGGGUCUAAUACCGGAUAGGAGCCAUUUUUAGUGUGAUGGUUGGAAAGUUUUUUCGGUGUAGGAUGAGCUCGCGGCCUAUCAGCUUGUUGGUGGGGUAAUGGCCUACCAAGGCGGCGACGGGUAGCCGGCCUGAGAGGGUGGACGGCCACAUUGGGACUGAGAUACGGCCCAGACUCCUACGGGUGGCAGCAGUGGGGAAUAUUGCACAAUGGGCGCAAGCCUGAUGCAGCGACGCCGCGUGGGGGAUGACGGCCUUCGGGUUGGAAACUCCUUUCGCUAGGGACGAAGCUUUUUGUGACGGUACCUAGAUAAGAAGCACCGGCUAACUACGUG
rnacentral:rRNA from 1 species